GGAGUGGGCCAGGCGGUCGCUACGAUUUUCGAUAAUCGUGGAGGAAAGUCCGGGCUCCACAGGGCACGGUGGUGGGUAACGCCCACCGUCCGCGAGGAUAGGGAGAGUGCCACAGAAAGUAAACCGCCGAUCGGGAAGGCUGGUGAGUGUUGAGUCUUGAGUGAUGAGUGGGAGACGGCACAGCAAUAUACCGUCUCAGGACGACAUCUUCGAGGCCGGAAAUGCGCAAGAACUUAAGAACGCUCUUCACUCUCAACUCAGCACUCACCACCUUCCAGGAGGCAAGGGUGAAACGGUGCGGUAAGAGCGCACCAGCGGGCCGGGUGACCGGCUCGGCUCGGUAAACCCCACCGGGAGCAAGACCAAGCAGGAAGGAGCACGGGCCAUUUCAGGCCCGUCGGGGACCGGCCCGGUCCGUUUGACUUCCGGGUAGGUCGCUUGAGGCGGCGGGUAACCGCCGUCCCAGAGAAAUGACCGCUCUCGACAGAACCCGGCUUAUCGGCCCACUCCGGUU
rnacentral:RNase_P_RNA from 1 species